rnacentral:rRNA from 1 species
UACGUAGGUGGCAAGCGUUAUCCGGAAUUAUUGGGCGUAAAGGGUGCGUAGGCGGUUGAUUAAGUUUUAGGUGAAAGCGUGGGGCUCAACUCCAUACAGCCUAAGAAACUGGUCAACUAGAGUGCAGAAGAGGGUAGUGGAAUUCCAUGUGUAGCGGUAAAAUGCGUAGAUAUAUGGAGGAACACCAGUGGCGAAGGCGGCUACCUGGUCUGUAACUGACGCUCAAGCACGAAAGCGUGGGGAGCAAAUAGGAUUAGAUACCCUAGUAGUCCACGCCGUAAACGAUGGAUACUAAGUGUUGGGGAAACUCAGUGCUGCAGUUAACGCAAUAAGUAUCCCGCCUGGGGAGUAUGCACGCAAGUGUGAA